rnacentral:rRNA from 1 species
AUUGAACGCUGGCGGCAUGCCUUACACAUGCAAGUCGAACGGCAGCACGGGAGCAAUCCUGGUGGCGAGUGGCGAACGGGUGAGUAAUAUAUCGGAACGUGCCCAGUCGUGGGGAUAACGUAGCGAAAGCUACGCUAAUACCGCAUACGAUCUAUGGAUGAAAGCGGGGGAUCGCAAGACCUCGCGCGAUUGGAGCGGCCGAUAUCAGAUUAGGUAGUUGGUGAGGUAAAGGGCUCACCAAGCCGACGAUCUGUAGCUGGUCUGAGAGGACGACCAGCCACACUGGAACUGAGACACGGUCCAGACUCCUACGGGAGGCAGCAGUGGGGAAUUUUGGACAAUGGACGCAAGUCUGAUCCAGCCAUUCCGCGUGCAGGAUGAAGGCCCUCGGGUUGUAAACUGCUUUUGUACGGUAACG